GCCGCGGGAUUAGAGUUUGAUCCUGGCUCAGGAUGAACGCUCGCGGCAGGCCUAAUACAUGCAAGUCGGACGGGAUAGAAGAGCUUGCUUUUCUUGAGAGUGGCGCACGGGUGCGUAACACGUAUGUAACCUACCUUUAUCAGGGGGAUAGCCUCUCGAAAGAGAGAUUAAGCCCGCAUAAAAUGAAGACACAGCAUUGUGAUUUCAUCAAAUAUUUAUAGGAUAGAGAUGGGCAUGCGGAACAUUAGCUAGUUGGUAAGGUAAUGGCUUACCAAGGCUACGAUGUUUAGGGGAUCUGAGAGGAUGGCCCCCCACACUGGUACUGAGACACGGACCAGACUCCUACGGGAGGCAGCAGUAAGGAAUAUUGGUCAAUGGGCGCAAGCCUGAACCAGCCAUGCCGCGUGCAGGAAGACGGCCCUACGGGUUGUAAACUGCUUUUGUGCCAGAAUAAACCUUCGGUCGUGACCGGAGCUGAAUGUAUGGUAAGAAUAAGGAUCGGCUAACUCCGUGCCAGCAGCCGCGGUAAUACGGAGGAUCCAAGCGUUAUCCGGAUUUAUUGGGUUUAAAGGGUGCGUAGGCGGCCUGUUAAGUCAGGGGUGAAAGACGGUAGCUCAACUAUCGCAGUGCCCUUGAUACUGAUGGGCUUGAAUGUACUAGAGGUAGGCGGAAUGUGACAAGUAGCGGUGAAAUGCAU
rnacentral:rRNA from 1 species